UUCAGUAACUGGCACUGAGUACAAAAAGCUUAGUAGUAGGAGAAAAGAUGUUGGAACUAAAUGUUGCCAUCUUUAUCAACAGUCACAACAUGGUUCCGCACACAGCGCAACCUAAUUGCCUUCGCGGUUUGCUGAGGAUGCCCAGACGGCCAGACAUGGUCUCCGUUCUUUGCACAAACUUGUAAUUUUUUUCCGCUUUGUGUUUGCAGAGGGUGAAGUCUCUGAAUAUGUAUGUAUAUAUAAACAUGGAACUGAUGUAGUGAAACUCUAA